GAAAUGCGAUACUUGGUGUGAAUUGCAGAAUCCCGUGAACCAUCGAGUCUUUGAACGCAAGUUGCGCCCGAAGCCUUCUGGCCGAGGGCACGUCUGCCUGGGCGUCACCGGGGAGGAGGAUGGCUUCCCGUGCCUCACCGGGCGCGGCUGGCCUAAAUAAGGAGCCUCAGGUCACGGACUGCUGCGGCGAUUGGUGAAUAAUCAACUCUAUCCGUGCAGUGCGUGGCCAUCGUGGACUCGUAGGACCCUGUGUUGUCCCCUUAUACGGACAAACCGUUGCGACCCCAGGUCAGGCGGGGCUACCCGCUGAGUUUAA
rnacentral:misc_RNA from 1 species